AAUGGGUUAGCUAAGUGGUUUAGCAGUAAUUUUACACAUUACGGACAGAGGUUCGAAUCCUCUACUCAUUA
rnacentral:tRNA from 1 species